rnacentral:rRNA from 1 species
UACGUAGGGUCCGAGCGUUGUCCGGAAUUACUGGGCGUAAAGAGCUCGUAGGUGGUUUGUCGCGUUGUUCGUGAAAAACUCACAGCUCAACUGUGGGCGUGCGGGCGAUACGGGCAGACUAGAGUACUGCAGGGGAGACUGGAAAUUCCUGGUGUAGCGGUGGAAUGCGCAGAUAUCAGGAGGAACACCGGUGGCGAAGGCGGGUCUCUGGGGCCGUAACUGACGCUGAGGAGCGAAAGCGUGGGGAGCGAACAGG